UUGGGUUAAGUCCCGCAACGAGCGCAACCCUUAUCCUUUGUUGCCAGCGAUUAGGUCGGGAACUCAAAGGAGACUGCCAGUGAUAAACUGGAGGAAGGUGGGGAUGACGUCAAGUCAUCAUGGCCCUUACGACCAGGGCUACACACGUGCUACAAUGGCGCAUACAAAGAGAAGCGACCUCGCGAGAGCAAGCGGACCUCAUAAAGUGCGUCGUAGUCCGGAUUGGAGUCUGCAACUCGACUCCAUGAAGUCGGAAUCGCUAGUAAUCGUGGAUCAGAAUGCCACGGUGAAUACGUUCCCGGGCCUUGUACACACCGCCCGUCACACCAUGGGAGUGGGUUGCAAAAGAAGUAGGUAGCUUAACCUUCGGGAGGGCGCUUACCACUUUGUGAUUCAUGACUGGGGUGAAGUCGUAACAAGGUAACCGUAGGGGAACCUGCGGUUGGAUCACCUCCUUACCUUAAAGAAGC
rnacentral:rRNA from 1 species